UACGUAGGGGGCAAGCGUUAUCCGGAUUUACUGGGUGUAAAGGGAGCGUAGACGGCAGGGCAAGUCUGGAGUGAAAGGCAGGGGCCCAACCCCUGGACUGCUCUGGAAACUGUCCGGCUGGAGUGCAGGAGAGGUAAGUGGAAUUCCUAGUGUAGCGGUGAAAUGCGUAGAUAUUAGGAGGAACACCAGUGGCGAAGGCGGCUUACCGGCGCCCUACUGACGCUGAGGCACGAAAGCGUGGGUAUCGAACAGG
rnacentral:rRNA from 1 species